AUGAGGGUGGACAGAAAAGUUGUGGGAAGGAGCAAAUGACCGAGUUGACUCGCCGCAAAGUAGGGUGAUGGGGAAUUUACCGAGUGACCUUGUGGAGCGAACGUGUGGCUGUUUGAGACUCCAGUGAUCCCAGGUGCUCACUUUUAAGCCACCAGCAACUUGACCCAAUGGACAAUCUCCGCCUAGACUCGUCAUGUGUAUGACCAUGAUGAGCAUGUUUGGCUGCAUGCUGAUGGCUUGGUUGGCCAGAAGGACGCGCUGGGUGAGAGAGCAAGAGGACGAAGGAGGCACGAACACCGGCGCCGUGACGGGAUGUCAGACGUGGCCUUUAUCUUGUGAAGUGUUCCCUGCGUUCCCACAAAUGAAGUUAUCCAUAAUGAUAACCAUUUCCUGAGUUAUCAUCAGCGGGGAGCAGUUUGCUGCGACAGGACGGCAUCCUUCUUGUGCCGAGGUGUUGGGGCGUGUGAGAAGAUGAGAAGGAAGCAGACGCAGACAGCGGGCUUUGAAGUCAGACGUUCCUCAGCUGACUAUUGAUCUCCAGUGUUAUACCUCAUCAAUCUUUCUGUCUUUUUUUUUUAUGCGCUGGUGUCAACUAAAUUGAGGGAUGAUUUAUUCAAAUCCAGCACCAUCAGAGUCCUCUCAGUCCGUUCAGGUUAGGAAGAAUGCCU